UACAGAGGGGGCAAGCGUUAUUCGGAAUUAUUGGGCGUAAAGAGCGUGUAGGCGGCCAGGUAGGUCUGCUGUGAAAACUCGAGGCUUAACCUCGAGCUGUCGGCGGAAACCAUUUGGCUAGAGUCCGGAAGAGGAGAAUGGAAUUCCCGGUGUAGCGGUGAAAUGCGCAGAUAUCGGGAAGAACACCCGUGGCGAAGGCGGUUCUCUGGGACGGUACUGACGCUGAGACGCGAAAGCGUGGGGAGCGAACAGG
rnacentral:rRNA from 1 species